GAGUUUGAUCGUGGCUCAGGACGAACGCUGGCGGCGUGCUUAACACAUGCAAGUCGAACGGUGACGACGGAGCUUGCUCUGUCUGAUCAGUGGCGAACGGGUGAGUAACACGUGAGUAACCUGCCCCCGACUCUGGAAUAACCGUGGGAAACGACGGCUAAUACCGGAUAUGAGACGCACAGGCAUCUGUGUGUCUGGAAAGAUUUAUCGGUCAGGGAUGGACUCGCGGCCUAUCAGCUUGUUGGUGGGGUAAUGGCCCACCAAGGCGACGACGGGUAGCCGGCCUGAGAGGGCGACCGGCCACACUGGGACUGAGAUACGGCCCAGACUCCUACGGGAGGCAGCAGUGGGGAAUAUUGCACAAUGGGCGCAAGCCUGAUGCAGCGACGCCGCGUGAGGGAUGAAGGCCUC
rnacentral:rRNA from 1 species